GAUGAACGCUGGCGGCGUGCCUAAUACAUGCAAGUCGAGCGAACGGACGAGAAGCUUGCUUUUCUGAUGUUAGCGGCGGACGGGUGAGUAACACGUGGAUAACCUACCUAUAAGACUGGGAUAACUUCGGGAAACCGGAGCUAAUACCGGAUAAUAUUUUGAACCGCAUGGUUCAAAAGUGAAAGACGGUCUUGCUGUCACUUAUAGAUGGAUCCGCGCUGCAUUAGCUAGUUGGUAAGGUAACGGCUUACCAAGGCAACGAUGCAUAGCCGACCUGAGAGGGUGAUCGGCCACACUGGAACUGAGACACGGUCCAGACUCCUACGGAAGGCAGCAGUAGGGAAUCUUCCGCAAAGGGCGAAAGCCUGACGGAGCAACGCCGCGUGAGUGAUGAAGGUCUUCGGAUCGUAAAACUCUGUUAUUAGGGAAGAACAUAUGUGUAAGUAACUGUGCACAUCUUGACGGUACCUAAUCAGAAAGCCACGGCUAACUACGUG
rnacentral:rRNA from 1 species